rnacentral:ribozyme from 13 species
AAAGAAGAAGAGAAGAGAAAAACAAAAAAAAAAUGAAAAAGAAAACGACACUGAAAUUGACUCCCUUCUUUCCUCUCUUUCUUCUUCUUAUUCUCUCCCU